rnacentral:rRNA from 1 species
UAAGGUGGCGUACGGGUGAGUAACACGUGGAUCAUCUACCUUUUAGUGGGGAAUACCGUUGGGAAACCGACGACAAUACCGCAUAAGCCCGAGAGGGGAAAGCAGCAAUGCGCUGAAAGAGGAGUCCGCGGCUGAUUAGCUAGUUGGUAGGGUAAUGGCCUACCAAGGCAUCGAUCAGUAGCCGGCCUGAGAGGGCACACGGCCACACUGGCACUGAAACACGGGCCAG